GCCCGGGUGGCUCAGUCGGUUGAGCGUCUGACUUCGGCUCAGGUCACGAUCUCACAGUUUGUGAGUUCGAGCCCCGCGUCGGGCU
rnacentral:tRNA from 1 species